rnacentral:misc_RNA from 1 species
AAGUCGUAACAAGGUUUCCGUAGGUGAACCUGCGGAAGGAUCAUUAUUGAAUACUGAAUCGGUUCUGAUGCUGGCUCUCUACUGGGCAUGUGCUCGUCCGUUCAUAUUUACCUUCUCUUGUGCACAUUUUGUAGUCCUUUGGAACAAGUGAAUUUCGCGCUGCUGUGAUUAACUUCGCGGUGGUUGCGGUUUGGGGGAUUGGGUGUAACAGCCCUUCCUCUGUUCAUGCGCGUUGCUGCGAUUUACUUCGUGGUGACUGCGGUUUGGGGGUUGAGCGUCAGCACUUCCCCUGCUUUUGCUUUUUUUCAAGGCUACGUUUUCAUAUACCCUAUACAAUGUUACAGAAUGUCUUUAAAGAUUGUGCUUGGUCGCAGUCAUUAAACCUAUACAACUUUCAGCAACGGAUCUCUUGGCUCUC